ACGAACGCUGGCGGCGUGGAUAAGACAUGCAAGUCGAACGAGAGAAUUGCUAGCUUGCUAAUAAUUCUCUAGUGGCGCACGGGUGAGUAACACGUGAGUAACCUGCCCCCGAGAGCGGGAUAGCCCUGGGAAACUGGGAUUAAUACCGCAUAGUAUCGAAAGAUUAAAGCAGCAAUGCGCUUGGGGAUGGACUCGCGGCCUAUUAGUUAGUUGGUGAGGUAACGGCUCACCAAGGCGAUGACGGGUAGCCGGUCUGAGAGGAUGUCCGGCCACACUGGAACUGAGACACGGUCCAGACACCUACGGGUGGCAGCAGUCGAGAAUCAUUCACAAUGGGGGAAACCCUGAUGGUGCGACGCCGCGUGGGGGAAUGAAGGUCUUCGGAUUGUAAACCCCUGUCAUGUGGGAGCAAAUUAAAAAGAUAGUACCACAAGAGGAAGAGACGGCUAACUCUGUGCCAGCAGCCGCGGUAAUACAGAGGUCUCAAGCGUUGUUCGGAAUCACUGGGCGUAAAGCGUGCGUAGGCUGUUUCGUAAGUCGUGUGUGAAAGGCGCGGGCUCAACCCGCGGACGGCACAUGAUACUGCGAGACUAGAGUAAUGGAGGGGGAACCGGAAUUCUCGGUGUAGCAGUGAAAUGCGUAGAUAUCGAGAGGAACACUCGUGGCGAAGGCGGGUUCCUGGACAUUAACUGACGCUGAGGCACGAAGGCCAGGGGAGCGAAAGGGAUUAGAUACCCCUGUAGUCCUGGCAGUAAACGGUGCACGCUUGGUGUGCGGGGAAUCGACCCCCUGCGUGCCGGAGCUAACGCGUUAAGCGUGCCGCCUGGGGAGUACGGUCGCAAGAUUAAAACUCAAAGAAAUUGACGGGGACCCGCACAAGCGGUGGAGUAUGUGGCUUAAUUCGAUGCAACGCGAAGAACCUUACCUGGGCUUGACAUGUAAUGAACAACAUGUGAAAGCAUGCGACUCUUCGGAGGCGUUACACAGGUGCUGCAUGGCCGUCGUCAGCUCGUGUCGUGAGAUGUUUGGUUAAGUCCAGCAACGAGCGCAACCCCUGUUGCCAGUUACCAGCACGUGAAGGUGGGGACUCUGGCGAGACUGCCCAGAUCAACUGGGAGGAAGGUGGGGACGACGUCAGGUCAGUAUGGCCCUUAUGCCCAGGGCUGCACACGUACUACAAUGCCCAGUACAGAGGGGGCCGAAGCCGCGAGGCGGAGGAAAUCCUGAAAACUGGGCCCAGUUCGGACUGUAGGCUGCAACCCGCCUACACGAAGCCGGAAUCGCUAGUAAUGGCGCAUCAGCUACGGCGCCGUGAAUACGUUCCCGGGUCUUGUACACACCGCCCGUCACAUCAUGGAAGCCGGUCGCACCCGAAGUAUCUGAAGCCAACCGCAAGGAGGCAGGGUCCUAAGGUGAGACUGGUAACUGGGAUG
rnacentral:rRNA from 1 species